rnacentral:rRNA from 1 species
GAUGAACGCUAGCGGCAGGCUUAACACAUGCAAGUCGAGGGGUAGAGGAAGCUUGCUUCCUUGAGACCGGCGCACGGGUGCGUAACGCGUAUGCAAUCUACCUUAUACAGGGGGAUAGCCCAGAGAAAUUUGGAUUAAUACCCCAUAGUAUAAUUGAAUGGCAUCAUUUAAUUAUUAAAAGUUCCAACGGUAUAAGAUGAGCAUGCGUCCCAUUAGCUAGUUGGUGUGGUAACGGCACACCAAGGCGACGAUGGGUAGGGGUCCUGAGAGGGAGAUCCCCCACACUGGUACUGAGACACGGACCAGACUCCUACGGGAGGCAGCAGUGAGGAAUAUUGGUCAAUGGGCGCAAGCCUGAACCAGCCAUGCCGCGUGCAGGAUGACGGUCCUAUGGAUUGUAAACUGCUUUUGUACAGGAAGAAACACUCCCUCGUGAGGGAGCUUGACGGUACUGUAAGAAUAAGGAUCGGCUAACGUCCGUGCCAGCAGCCGCGGUAAUC